rnacentral:tRNA from 1 species
UUAAAAGUAAGCUAAAUUUAAGCUAAUGGGUUCAUACCCCAUGAAUGGAAUCAUCCCUUUUAAA